AUGAAAAGGUUUUAGAAAUUGAUAGUGAUGACCGCACAACCUUGUGAUUAUAAUCAAUGUCACUAAGCUGUACAUUAAAAAUUGUAGAAAUGGCAAAUUUUAUACUAUCUAUUUACCUAAGUAAAAAAAAAAAUAGGGAAAUUGGAUUGUUUUGUUUACCUAGAUAACCUUAUUGUGUGUACCCAUGAUUUCAGUUUCUCUGGUUCUGUAAGUUUUUUGAAAUGUAAAAUGUGAAUUCCUGUAGAACAGGAAUGUUCUAUUAGUGGCCCUCCAGGCACCCAGGCCGUCCGAUGUGAAGACAAUGCCCAGCUUCUCACAAGCACACACUUAGAUGAACAAAAAAUAGGUCUCCCAGUCACUUACUGUCCUACAUAUCAGGAAUAACAAACGAACAAGCAAGAUAGUGCAUUCUAGGAAUCACUUUUGUAACCCCGGCAAUCUUGUGAGAAUCUUGGAGGCCCGGCGAUGAAUAACUCUUUAGUCCUUCCCCCUGGCUGGAAGAACAGAGACAAGGACAAGUGCCAGUCCUGAUGGCACCUACCCCGCCCUUCCUCCACUUUUCAGAAAAGCAUGAAGGACACAUCAUGGAGGAAAACAUGGAUGGGAGAACAAGAGAAGCCACAGAAAAGGCACAUGAAGACAAUCCUUCAUAUCAGAAAGGACUGAGAAGAGGUGAAGAGGUGUGCCUAUGAUGAGACAGAGAAGGGAGGAGCUAGUCUCCUGUGCAGGCCUUCCUCCCGUCCUGGUGAACACAGCAUAGGGCUGGGCAAUGAGCACUUGGUGGGAAAAACCACGGAUUAUUGUUGUAAGGUACUGAAGCGAAGCCAGAAUAAGUAUCUUGCUUAAUGUGAAUGCACAGUUCAGUGCAAGGACUGCUCAGAGAACCCUAACCUCCUAGCCCGCUGCUGGUCCAAUGUGUCUCCCAGCUCACUUUCCCCAGGCACCCAAUUUCAGAACAGGAUCGUUCUUUCCCACCCUCUUUGAAACCAGCUAUGGUCACGUGAAUCGCUUUGGUCGAUCAACAUGCGUGGAAAUGACAAAGGGCAGACUCUUUAAGAAGCGGCAUGUGAUUUGCCCCUCUGCUCUGGUGAUCAUUAGAAACAUACAUCAAGAUGAAGCUUCCAUCAGCCAGGAUGUCCGAGCGAUUACAAGGAGCAGAGCCCUCCUGCCGGCCUUCAGCGGACACGGGAUGUGAGCAGGGAAUAAUAAACUUUGUGUUAAAUCACUGAAAUUUGGGACUUGCAUGUUGCUGCCGCAUAAUCCAGCAUAUCCUGAGUGAUACGUGUACAAAUUAAAAUCGAAGCUGCUUCAACUGGACCUUGAAGACACUCCACCAUCUGGCCUCGGCCUAUCUUUUACACAUUCACUUAACCUGCUGAGAGUAUGAUGUGCCGGCAACUCCGAUAGUUCCUGGGAAUACGAAGGGCCCACGCCCUCGAUGGGACCUACAUACGCACAUUGGAGUUGUUACAAUACAGCAUGAUAAUUGCUACAGUCAACCUUCGGGUCUAACAGGAACAAGAGAGAGAUCACUUUAUUCUUCUCUGGGAUGAUGUUGAGAAUGAUGUCAAACAUUGUUUUGUUUUUUUUUUUUUUCAAGGAGUGGUAUGCAUAUGAAAAGGCACAAACGUGAAAGAAAGCAAAACAUGUUCCAAAGCCGUGCGUAGCUUGCUAUAUGGCUGGUGCGUCUUUGCCCAGAACAUAUCUACGUCGGCACACAUCCAUACCUCUGCCCGUGCUUUUUCCCUUGCCUGGCUUCCUUCAAACCACCGUAGGGUUAACAAGCUGGGGGUGGGGGGAAGGCAGGCAACAGAUGCCAGGGGACUCCAGAGUUUUUAUUUCAUACUGGUCUCGCUUUCAUAUGGGCUCUUAUGCUUAGACAUUUAUCUCCUCUCCAAAUAAGUCAAUACAUUCAGUCACGGGAUGACUGAUGGGAUUCCAGGAUGCUGUUCAUUAUACCUCAUUAAACCAGACCACUCCUGUAGAAGACUAGAUAUAAACAUUUUUUGCAAUCUAACACAGCCCAUGACUACAAAUUUAGGACGUGGGAUUUUCUGUGCAAAAGGCAUUCAAAGUAAACAUGAAAAUAUACCUCAGUUUUGGUAAUCCUGCUUUGAAACUUUUUCUUUGGUUAUACAGUAGCAUCUUUUAAAAAAAUGUGUUUUAAUGUUUUUAUUUUUGAAGGAGAGAGAGAGAGACAGAGCAUGA